UAAGGAAUAUUGGUCAAUGGACGCAAGUCUGAACCAGCCAUGCCGCGUGAAGGAUGAAGGUCCUCUGGAUUGUAAACUUCUUUUAUCUGGGACGAAAACGGGAUUUUUAUCUCAAUUGACGGUACCAGAGGAAUAAGCACCGGCUAACUCCGUGCCAGCAGCCGCGGUAAUACGGAGGGUGCGAGCGUUAUCCGGAUUUACUGGGUUUAAAGGGUGCGUAGGUGGGCUUAUAAGUCAGUGGUGAAAUCUCCGAGCUUAACUUGGAAACUGCCGUUGAUACUAUAGGUCUUGAAUUAUCUGGAGGUAUGCGGAAUAUGUCAUGUAGCGGUGAAAUGCUUAGAUAUGACAUAGAACACCAAUUGCGAAGGCAGCUUACUACAUAUAAAUUGACGCUGAGGCACGAAAGCGUGGGGAUCAAACA
rnacentral:rRNA from 1 species